rnacentral:rRNA from 1 species
ACGCCAAAUAGAUUUUAAUUGAUGCUAAAAGAAUGGAAAUUUAAAAAAAAACUUUUUUAAAAAUAAAAAUUGAAUUUUUUUUAAUUUGUGCAAAAACAAUUAUAUUUAUUAAAGACAAGAAGACCCUAAGAAUUUAAGAUUUUACAAUUAAAAAGUUUUUUUUUUAAAAUCUUGAUUGGGGCGAUCAAAAAAUAUUAAUAACUUUUUAAAAUUUAAAUUGAUCUAUUAUUAAUAAACUAAUGAAUUAAAUACUCUAGGGAUAACAGCGUAAUAAUUUUUGAUAGAUCUUAUUGACAAAAUAGUUUGCGACCUCGAUGUUGGAUUAGGAUUCUUUUUUAAUGAAGAAGUUAAAAAAAGAAGUUUGUUCAACUUUUAAAUUCCUACUUGAUCUGAGUCCAAACCGGA